rnacentral:rRNA from 1 species
GACGAACGCUGGCGGCGUGCCUAAUACAUGCAAGUUGAGCGCUGAAGGUUGGUACUUGUACCAACUGGAUGAGCAGCGAACGGGUGAGUAACGCGUGGGGAAUCUGCCUUUGAGCGGGGGACAACAUUUGGAAACGAAUGCUAAUACCGCAUAAAAACUUUAAACACAAGUUUUAAGUUUGAAAGAUGCAAUUGCAUCACUCAAAGAUGAUCCCGCGUUGUAUUAGCUAGUUGGUGAGGUAAAGGCUCACCAAGGCGAUGAUACAUAGCCGACCUGAGAGGGUGAUCGGCCACAUUGGGAAUGAGACACGGCCCAAACUCCUACGGGAGGCAGCAGUAGGGAAUCUUCGGCAAUGGACGAAAGUCUGACCGGGCAACGCCGCGUGAGUGAAGAAGGUUUUCGGAUCGUAAAACUCUGUCGGUAGAGAAGAACGUUGGUGAGAGUGGAAAGCUCAUCAAGUGACGGUAACUACCCAGAAAGGGACGGCUAACUACGUG